rnacentral:lncRNA from 1 species
CCCCAAUUGUGAUAUUUUCCUGCAUUGUCUGAAACCAUUCAACUUAGUUCUGUGUUGUAAAGCGAAAAAAAAUAUCAUAUACAUAUUACCAUGUAUGUACAUAAGACAUAAAUACAAUGGUUCUGUAAAAAAUACAAAAUUACAGUUUUCUAAGUUUGCCUCAAAGAUUAAAACAGUAGGUGUUAGAUGCAUUAUUUGGGUGAUUUUAUGUGUUUCUAAAGAGUUUACAUUAAUAUAUUAUCUACAAUCAACUACAAACAAUAUCCAUGACAGUAAACUAUUUUUGUUUUUGUUUUCACCAUUACGACAGUAAACUUAUUUAUUUCUUACUAAAAGUGAUAUAUAUAUAUAUAUAUACAUAUGUGUGUGUGUAUAUAUACAUAUACUUAUAAGGUUCUACUAAAAUAAAUAAUAAUGAUGAUUUGUAAGAUUUAUGUUUUUUAGUUCAAAAUGUAUUACAGUUUUUAAAAGGUUAGUUGAACUUAAAAUGGCAAAUCAACUCCAGUCUACUUUUCUUUCCACUAAACUCUUCAGUUUAACAGGAUAUGUAAAGAAUUAUAACAUAAUAAAUUUGGAUGGUUUUCGAUGAAAAAAACGCCUUAUAGUAUUAGUGAUUGUUAUCAAAUCCUUUUGAUUUACACUUGUAAUGAUAGAUCUCAUUAGACAAAACCUAGGAUUCUAUCCAGUUUUAAUUUAUCAAACCUUUUAGUGUAUUAUUAUUAUUAGUUUAAUACUUAAAGAAAGGCACCUAUUUACUUAGCAGUCAUUCUCAUCAUCUAAAAACUAAUCAAGCACAAAGAUAUGUUAACAAAAAAAAAAAAAAAAACAGCUGCAAAUUUCCAACAGAAUGAUUGGACUAUCCACUUGUCCACAUCCAACCGGAACAACACCCUCCACGCUUCUACAGAAAAAGCACUUUAUUUGAUUCCAACCAAAAACCCAAUUUCGAAGGCGAAUAGAUUAAAUAAAAAAAAACUCAAACAAAUACAUGUAUUCAUCUAGAAAACCCUGUUCAAAUUCACCACGUCCUGCGUCGUUGUCGUCGACGUCGGCUUUGCCUUGGAGGGGGGUGCACGAUCCAUUGAUACCAUCGAUGCGCGGCAGUGAGUUCACAGAUCGUUAGUUGACGAAAUGAGAAGACGACGAUUAGUUCUCAUCACUCCGAUCACGCUAAAAAAGUGCUGCACAAGGUCAGGGGCCGAUUGCGCCCAAUCGCCAACCGAGAGCUACGAUUGAACUGAAUCCCCUCGUGGAAGAUCCGAAGCAUGUGCUGGGUGCAGGGAGUAAUCGAUCGAUCGAUCGUUCGGUUGUUCGAUGGAUCGAUUGGGUUUCGGAAGGACGUCCAUUGGGAGGCUUUACGCCAAAUCGGGCGAAAAAGUCCAUCACUUGGGAGGCAUCACCAAUCCGGCCGGUGUGUGUGUUCCACACCGUGUAAUCGACCUUUCAAUUUCACCAGGGAAGAAUCCAUGGCACCGAAUUCGUGAGUGGGAAGGAUUCGGGGAUUUGACUGGAGAUUGAAAAGUUGUUACAGUAACUUGAUAAAGUUUUCGUUUAAGCCCGGCGAACGGGGAGAACGAAUUGAAUGGCGAUGGUGAAACAGGUUUUGAGGGAUGCGUGCCAUCGCCUUUCAGCGAAGGCGUGGCGAGAGUGGGUGGGGGGUGGAGUGACGAUUCGGAGAGGGUAGAAGAAGAAGGCGGACAGUUUGACUUUGAUGCGAUGAUACGGAUGCCUUUGGAGACACUGUAACUGCACACUGACGAGUUCAGUCUGGAGUGUGAUGCACGUUACUAACUUCCUUGGAUUCCACGGCCGUAUAUGAGAAGGGUAUUGAGUUAAUCCACAAUUAAAGCAUCGCUGAUUGCAAAUUCCUAGUGAAGUAUACCUGGCCAUAAGUAGCCGGGGUCAGGGAUAGGAUUGACGCACUGAGUAACUUUGUGCGCCGUGAGUUGUUGAUGCUUUUCGAUUUCACUUGCUAACGUGUUUGUUUGAACACGUUACUCGGCGCCUAAAUCGGGUGUUUUGUGCGCGCGUCCCGUCUUCCGGAAGCAUUCUCUGAGUUGUCGUGAAAGAUAGGUGUCGCUGCGUUGACAAUCUUUGUGGGUCUUCGUUUUUUGGUUGCGUUUGUUUAUGUAGUGGCUCCUUGUUUCGAUCCCUCUUAGUGUGGUGAAGCCGGUGUAAAUCUCUGCUCAAUUUGGCCCCCGCUUGUACAGUUCUGCUUUGUUUGAUCGCCCACGAUUGUAUAGUACGAAAAUUGUGUCAUUACCUUGUCUCCAGCCUCGCACCCGAUCAGAAAUUGGAGGGAUUGUGUGGCAAGAGGAGGCGAACGAGGAAUUUAGUCAGGUAGCGGUAGCGCGCAGCGAGGAGGAAGAGUUAGUAGUAAUAUGAGGAGGGAAGGUCGUGUUGCGGGCAAACCCACGAACCAUUCCAGAGUGACCGGAAAAUGUAAGGUUGUCGGAUGCUCGGGUUGCCACGAUUCUCUACCUCUGAACAAAUCUCGAGGAAAAGGGAAAGGGAGGAUCAAGCGACUCGUGUCUGAUAUUCCCAGCACCCAUCAGGUGUCCGACUGGCGCGUGAGCAAGCCUUCUUCUCUCGGUGUUCGUUGCAAUGGGUCUCGUCAAAUUGCACGACCUUUUCUGAAAUGGGAUGCGACCACGGACUGGGCUUCCGACGAUUACGAUGAUGUAGAAGGUAACGAUCGUGACGAUUGCGUGGAGGAUCCGAAGGGCUGGGCGUUGUCGAUUUCUCUGUUGAUUGAUACUGCUCUGGAACAUAUCCAAGAGGACGCCAAAAGUGGGAGUAAGAAGGCUGACACGGCGAUCUUCGACGGGCAGGAAGCGCACGAUGCGCUGAAAGCGCUUUUCACUGGGGACAGUGAUGGCGAUAUCAGUGAUGGUGAGGUGCCCAAUUUCGAGUCUUUCAAGAAUGAGUUUGAGGUGUUCAAAACGGAAAUCGAUGCCGUGUGCUCGACGGCAAGUGUGGCCGAGAGUGCUUGCAGCUGGUCGGGUAUUGAGCUUUCGGAUGCUGAUGAAUCCUGCCAGAGCGACUGGGAAGACGACUGGUCUCUUGUGGGGAGAGAGAUUGCCGUGUAAAAAAUCACAACAUUCGAUGAUCGUGUGGCGUUUCGAAGAUGCUCUUCCUCUCAGGGACCGCUCAAUUCGCGAUACUGCCACUUAUCGAGAAGGUAACAUUAGCUUCGGUGCCAAUCAGAUCUUACUUUGGUCGCAGAAAUAGUGUACAAUGAUUCUUGUCGAAGUGUCGGUUCGAUCAACAAGUGUGAAAAUAUUGCACCAGUUGGUCGGCGAUUCCGCGGAUUGGGUGAACCUCUUAAGACGAUAAACCAAAGGUCAGUCACGGCGAAUUCACAUUUGUACAAAAUCUGUCUUAGCGCAUUCAUGAUUCUACGGAUGAGACCAGCGCCAAGAUGCUGUUUCGUGUGAUGUAUGCCUGCACAGUUGUAAACUAGAUCGAUAGCUUAGAAAAUGGAGAAAUUCGAAAAAAAGAAACAAAGAAAUUAAAAAGCUUUGAGUCUUCGCAGGCAUUCUGUCGUUCGUUGAAUUGCCAAUUGGCCUUCUUCCUAGAGCCGAUCAGUUGUGAUCCCCCCCUCCCCCUCUCAAAUAAAGCUGCUCCUGGUUGUAAAAUACCCGUCAAAUCGCGAAUUGUCGUCAUUUCCUGUUUUUUCGAAUGGUAUUGUGGGAAUCACUGUUCCGCUUUUUUCAACACCACCUCAAUCUUAUUAUCUCUCCUUGUGCUUCGCAACCAAAUGCCCCCACGACACUUUGAUUUGUUUAUGUGAUGCUAUGAGGCAGGAUGAGAGGAUGGGACUUUUUAAAAGGUUAAUGGAAUUAAAAAUAAAUAAUUUCUCUUCCGGACAACAUUUUGGCUACCUUUUCACCAGCACCACUAAAACAAUGUAAUCGGGUUCGUCAAACGAGCAC